rnacentral:rRNA from 1 species
GAAUGCUGACAUAAGUAACGAUAAAGCGGGUGAAAAGCCCGCUCGCCGGAAGACCAAGGGUUCCUGUCCAACGUUAAUCGGGGCAGGGUGAGUCGACCCCUAAGGCGAGGCCGAAAGGCGUAGUCGAUGGGAAACGGGUUAAUAUUCCCGUACUUGGUGUUACUGCGAAGGGGGGACGGAGAAGGCUAUGUUGGCCGGGCGACGGUUGUCCCGGUUUAAGCGUGUAGGUGUGUGUUCCAGGUAAAUCCGGUUCACUUUAACACUGAGGCGUGACGACGAGGCACUACGGUGCUGAAGCAACAAAUGCCCUGCUUCCAGGAAAAGCCUCUAAGCAUCAGGUAACAUCAAAUCGUACCCCAAACCGACACAGGUGGUCAGGUAGAGAAUACCAAGGCGCUUGAGAGAACUCGGGUGAAGGAACUAGGCAAAAUGGUGCCGUAACUUCGGGAGAAGGCACGCUGACACGUAGGUGAAGUGAUUUACUCAUGGAGCUGAAGUCAGUCGAAGAUACCAGCUGGCUGCAACUGUUUAUUAAAAACACAGCACUGUGCAAACACGAAAGUGGACGUAUACGGUGUGACGCCUGCCCGGUGCCGGAAGGUUAAUUGAUGGGGUCAGCGCAAGCGAAGCUCCUGAUCGAAGCCCCGGUAAACGGCGGCCGUAACUAUAACGGUCCUAAGGUAGCGAAAUUCCUUGUCGGGUAAGUUCCGACCUGCACGAAUGGCGUAAUGAUGGCCAGGCUGUCUCCACCCGAGACUCAGUGAAAUUGAACUCGCUGUGAAGAUGCAGUGUACCCGCGGCAAGACGGAAAGACCCCGUGAACCUUUACUAUAGCUUGACACUGAACAUUGAGCCUUGAUGUGUAGGAUAGGUGGGAGGCUUUGAAGUGUGGACGCCAGUCUGCAUGGAGCCGACCUUGAAAUACCACCCUUUAAUGUUUGAUGUUCUAACGUGGACCCGUUACCCGGGUUGCGGACAGUGUCUGGUGGGUAGUUUGACUGGGGCGGUCUCCUCCUAAAGAGUAACGGAGGAGCACGAAGGUUGGCUAAUCCUGGUCGGACAUCAGGAGGUUAGUGCAAUGGCAUAAGCCAGCUUGACUGCGAGCGUGACGGCGCGAGCAGGUGCGAAAGCAGGUCAUAGUGAUCCGGUGGUUCUGAAUGGAAGGGCCAUCGCUCAACGGAUAAAAGGUACUCCGGGGAUAACAGGCUGAUACCGCCCAAGAGUUCAUAUCGACGGCGGUGUUUGGCACCUCGAUGUCGGCUCAUCACAUCCUGGGGCUGAAGUAGGUCCCAAGGGUAUGGCUGUUCGCCAUUUAAAGUGGUACGCGAGCUGGGUUUAGAACGUCGUGAGACAGUUCGGUCCCUAUCUGCCGUGGGCGCUGGAGAACUGAGGGGGGCUGCUCCUAGUACGAGAGGACCGGAGUGGACGCAUCACUGGUGUUCGGGUUGUCAUGCCAAUGGCACUGCCCGGUAGCUAAAUGCGGAAGAGAUAAGUGCUGAAAGCAUCUAAGCACGAAACUUGCCCCGAGAUGAGUUCUCCCUGAGACUUAAAGUCUCCUGAAGGAACGUUGAAGACGACGACGUUGAUAGGCCGGGUGUGUAAGCGCAGCGAUGCGUUGAGCUAACCGGUA